rnacentral:lncRNA from 1 species
AUAAAACACAGGGGGGGAGUGAAAGGCCUUGAGGAAAUGUGUCGUUUUCUUGAAGGGUCCUCUCUGCAAGAAGCUGAGAGAAGAGCUUCCAAGUAUUUCAGCAGCCAGCUGGGCACUGCAUUACCCUCACUAUUCAAAGGUAUGAACUGUUAGCUACCAACAGAAAGGGGGGAAGCAGGGUGUGUGAUGUUUGCUCCCUCCCAGCAUGUUAGCUUCGACUUCAGAAACUACUCAUGUCCCCAUGAAGCAGGAUGAGACAGACAUGGGAUCUGGAUAUUUGGGCUGUUCUAAAAGAUAAAGAGCAGAGAUGUGGUGAAGCAUAUUUAGGAAGCAUCUUAUUUCAGGUUUGCUCUGUGAAUUUCCGUUAUCAGAUGGGCACUGCUGCUAAUAUUCACUGCUUACAGCUGACAGAGAUGAAAAAGAACAGGAAAUACAGGUUCUGCUGGAGAUCAGAAAGGCACUGGAAAAGCUGAUGCAGUUUGUUAAGAAGAUACAAGAAGAAGAAAAGAGAACAUAUGUGCAGAUGACACAGAGAGAGAAGCAAAGAGGAGGCACAUCAAGUAUGGAAACAGUGAUGCUCAGACGGGUUGUACUGGCUCUAGCCUCUGAAUUUCAGGAAUGCAUGUUGAAACAACAAGCUAACGUGGAGACUGCAUACAGCAAGCUGGAAUUUUUGAGGGACUUGUCAGAUAUCCAAACCCAGCAGGCAAAGGUGCUUUUCUCUGGGUCACAACACUGUUUUGAAAACUAUGAGACAGCCAGAUACUAUGGCAGCAGUGGGAUCUCACACAGUACAUGCGAGGCCAUCCAUCACAGCGUGAUCCCACUGCUCAAGUCCAUGGUUCAGAUGCUGGAGGAAGACAGCAGAAGUUACGUAUCAUCUGAGACACCUGGUAAGAGAGGAGUUAAAGGUACUGUCAGUUACCUUAUUUUACACCGGGCUUUAAAAACAUAUUGGAGCCUUUCAACUUUGAAAGGCUAG